CAUUGCACUCCAGUCUGGGUGACAGAGCAAGACUCUGUCUCAAAAUAAAUAAAUAAAUAAAACUCUGUUUCCCAGUGCUACUUUCCACAGAGCUGGAGGACAGGCUUUUGGUGUCGAGUGUCUCACAUCCUUGUUUUUUCCCCUUUGGCAUGAAUAUCUAGACAGGAAUUUCUGAUAACCUCUUGUAAACUGAAAAGUAACUGAGGCAUCUCAAUCCACUUAAAGGUUUAUUUUGCCAAGGUUGAGAAUGCACCCGGGAAAAACAGACGUAAGUCCCAUUGGGACCAUCAGAUCUCAUGAGAACUCACUCACUAUCAUGAGAACAGCAGGGGGGCAACCACCCCCAUGAUCCAACCACCUCCUACCAGGUCCCUCCCUUGACAUGUGGAGUUUACAAUUCCAGAUGAGAUUCAGGUGGGGACAGAGAGUGAAGCCAUGUCAGUAGGGAAUGAGGCAAGUUGUCACAUUCUUGUGAGGCUCUGAUGAGCACUUAGUGAAUCUACAUUUUACUUGUGAAAACAAAGGGGGGGGAAGUCAAUUACAUAUUUGUUUCUUGCAUGGUUUAUCUACAUUUUACAUAAGGUAAAGGAAGCCUGUGAGGUCACAGCUAUCUUUUUGGGAGCAAAAGGAAGGCAGUUUUAUGUGACUCAGUUCCUAAGCUUCACUUUCCCUUUGGCAUAGUGAGUUUGGGGAUCCCAAGGUUUUAUUUUCCUUCCCCACUCUAUUAUAGAGAAUUCCGUAGGGACUAUUUUCGGUUUUGUUUUGUUUGGAGACAAAGUCUUGCUCUGUCGCCCAGGCUGGAGUGCAGUGGCGCGAUCCGGCUCACUGCAACCUCGGUCUCCUGAGUUCAAGCGAUUCUUCUGCCUCAGCCUCCCAAGUAGCUGGGACUACAGGCACGUGCUACCCCUGGCUAAUUUUUGUAUUUUUAGUAGAGACAGGGUUUCACCAUGUUGGCCAGCUGUUCUCCAACUCCUGACCUCAGGUGAUCUGCCCGCCUCAGCCUCCCAAAGUGCUGGGAUUACAGGCGUGAGCCACCAUGCCCGGCCCCCUAGAACGUAAUUUGAAUUGGUAAAUGCUGGAUUAGUAAAAACUAAAAAUCAAUCCGCUAUUUAUGUCUCUAACAUAAUGGCCCUUAAUAGGCAACCACUUUUCAUGAGUCUUGUUUCAGACAUCCCAGACUCCAUUUCCCAGAGAAGCGGAGAAUGAAUGGGUGCUGUAUGUUCACUGCCGGGUGUCCGAGAAGCUGCACAGGAAGUGUCUUAACGUGAAGAGAGUCCACACUGGACACCGGCACAAAGGGCAGAGUGAAGGGACGAAGUGUCAGAUGCGUCUCUGCCACCAGCACACGUUUCAGCGGUGCUAGAUUUGACUAGGCACAGGACUCUAAACUGGUGGUUUGCUGACUAUUAACCUCCACGGUAUUGCUAUCUCAUGCUCCUUGACCCCUUCCUAAUUUUGCUGUGGUUCGGCAGCUCCAGUCCACUGUUGAAAUGCUGGUAGAUUUCAAAACUCCGUUGGGACAUAUUAAAUUCUGGUGAGCCAGUGGGUGGGAUGCCUUCUGAAUGACAAAGGGGCCCCGUGGCUAAAAGCUGAAGGAAAUUCAUGCAAUGAUGAAUGUGCUGCAAUUAAUCACCAGAGAUCUGUUCUUUUCCUUAUAUGCGUAGUAUAGUGCAGGGUCCAGGGUUGGGGAGAGUCUCUGAGUCCAGAUCUUCAUAGAAUUAAAAAUAAUGAAUAUUUGUAAUCAGGCAUCGCUUGACCAACAACUCCGCCUCCUUAGUUGGAAAUACAGACGUCCACUUUUCGCUAGUGUGUAAUUAUUUUCUGGAAUGCUGAGAAUUGUUCCCCUGACCUAUGGCUCUUUUUUAAGCAUCUGGGAUAUGCAGUCAAUUUGCAGGUUGCUAUUUUGAAGUCAGGGAGCCUCAGAGAAUCGAAUAUAUGCCACAUAAGUUCCUGCAAGAUGGACUUUCUGGGAGUCCUCUGAUGAGGUUGGGAGAAGGCAAAGAGGAGAUGUUUCCAUGUAAAGGCUGAGCAAGCUCCAGGCCACUGCAGAAGUUCAGCUUUCUUCAGCUCUGUAAGCUGGACCCUGUGGCUGGAGUCUGGCCAACUGCAGGGACAAGUUUCUAUUAUUAUGUAAAUGGAGUCCCAGUGCGGCCUUGGAAGAGUUUUUGGCACAGGGUAACCCUUUGUCUGCCAAAAGGUAGCCUCUCCCUUUGCUUCAAGCCCAGAGUGUGCAUUUUGCAGUGGUGACCUGUAAGCCACCGGUCAACCUGCAGAUUGCCUUAUUAGGCAGACUGCGGAGGCUGGUGGCUGGGGACUGGCUGGCAGAGGCGGUGGCAGUGAGCUUGUGUCCUGUACGAAGCCGGAGAACCCCAGCCCCGGAGACGUGGCCUAGUACUUACUGUUCUAUAAAUGAUAGUCCUCCGUGGUGACAGGAAUAUACACUCUCCUUGGCAGGCAUACUUUAUGGGUUGGUUGGAGAACAGGAGGUUUGCAGGGGGAGGUGACUGUCCGAAGGACAGAAUGGUACGAGGCUUUCUUCACUGCGUAGCUUGUGUGUUCAGUCCUGUAUCAGGGCUUAUUCUACGGAGUAUGGACUUUAUCAGGAUUUUUUUUUUAACUUUUAAGUUCAGGUUUGUUAUAUAGGUAAACUCCUGUUAUGGGGGUUUGUUGUACAGAUUAUUUCAUCACCCAGGCAUUAAGCCCAGUACCCAUUUGUUAUUUUUCAUGAUCCUUUCCCUCCUUCCACCCUCCACCCUCCGAAAGGCCCCAGUGUGUGUUGUUCCCCUCUGUGUGUCCAUGUGUUCUCAUCAUUUAGCUCCCACUUAUAAGUGAGAACAUGCGGUAUUUGGUUUUUCUGUUCCUGCGUUAGUUUGCUAAAGAUAAUAGCCUCCAGCUCCAUCCAUGUCCCUGCAAAGGACAUGAUCUCAUUGUUUUUUAUGGCUUCAUAGUAUUCUAUAUCAGGAAGUGUGGAAUGUUUUCCUUUUAACCCAGGAUGUUUUGCAGACUCUCAAUCUUGUUUAUGUUUUAUACUAAAGUCUUUCUAAUCUAAUGGUGAGGUCAUGUGUGUGGUAGGAAGGAAAUAUCACCAGAUAAUAAGGUGGUACAAUGGAAACAGCAGAGUUUUAGGAGCCAGGGGACGUGCGUUCCAGGGCUGCCACAAGUGGGCUAAGUGGAUAAGUCACUUGCAUUGGGGAGGUGACUUCCCCAAGGACAGAACGGUAUAGCUCAUGUAUCUAGGGCUUAGUGGGCAAUCACUAGUGAUCACUAGUGAAUCUGUGAUCACUAUACAUUAAAUGUAUCCAAUCAUCACUCUGUA
rnacentral:lncRNA from 1 species